rnacentral:rRNA from 1 species
CACGUAGGGGGCGAGCGUUGCUCGGAAUCACUGGGCGUAAAGGGUGCGUAGGCGGGUCUUUAAGUCAGGGGUGAAAUCCUGGAGCUCAACUCCAGAACUGCCUUUGAUACUGAGGAUCUUGAGUUCGGGAGAGGUGAGUGGAACUGCGAGUGUAGAGGUGAAAUUCGUAGAUAUUCGCAAGAACACCAGUGGCGAAGGCGGCUCACUGGCCCGAUACUGACGCUGAGGCACGAAAGCGUGGGAGCAACAGGG